UACGGAGGAUUCAAGCGUUACCCGGAUUUAUUGGGUUUAAAGGGUGCGUAGGCGGUCGGAUAAGUUAGAGGUGAAAUCCCGGGGCUCAACUUCGGAAUUGCCUCUGAUACUGUUCGGCUAGAGAGUAGUUGCGGUAGGCGGAAUGUAUGGUGUAGCGGUGAAAUGCUUAGAGAUCAUACAGAACACCGAUUGCGAAGGCAGCUUACCAAGCUACUUCUGACGUUGAGGCACGAAAGCGUGGGGAGCAAACAGG
rnacentral:rRNA from 1 species